CUCCUACGGGAGGCAGCAGUGGGGAAUAUUGGACAAUGGGCGCAAGCCUGAUCCAGCCAUGCCGCGUGAGUGAUGAAGGCCCUAGGGUUGUAAAGCUCUUUUGUGCGGGAAGAUAAUGACGGUACCGCAAGAAUAAGCCCCGGCUAACUUCGUGCCAGCAGCCGCGGUAAUACGAAGGGGGCUAGCGUUGCUCGGAAUCACUGGGCGUAAAGGGUGCGUAGGCGGGUUUCUAAGUCAGAGGUGAAAGCCUGGAGCUCAACUCCAGAACUGCCUUUGAUACUGGAAGUCUUGAGUAUGGCAGAGGUGAGUGGAACUGCGAGUGUAGAGGUGAAAUUCGUAGAUAUUCGCAAGAACACCAGUGGCGAAGGCGGCUCACUGGGCCAUUACUGACGCUGAGGCACGAAAGCGUGGGGAGCAAACAGGAU
rnacentral:rRNA from 1 species